rnacentral:rRNA from 1 species
UACGUAGGGUGCAAGCGUUGUUCGGAAUCAUUGGGCGUAAAGCGCGUGUAGGUGGCUAAUUAAGUCGGGUGUGAAAUCCCUGGGCUCAACCGAGGAAGUGCAUCCGAAACUAAUUAGCUGGAGAGUGGUAGAGGAAGGUGGAAUUCCGUGUGUAGAGGUGAAAUUCGUAGAUAUACGGAGGAAUACCGGUGGCGAAGGCGGCCUUCUGGACCAUUUCUGACACUGAGACGCGAAAGCGUGGGGAGCAAACAGGAUUAGAUACCCGGGUAGU